UCCUAACAUUGUAGAUAAUUUUGAACCUCGUACAGGUUUACCGCAUUUUAUAUUUCGAAUAGAACUCCCCUGUAAAUUCAUGAGAAACAGUAUAAUCGCAUGAUGCUGAUGGUUGUGUCCGCAGGGGUAAAUUGGUUCAAUUGAGGACGGAAAUCAUAUGGGAGUGAUCGCUGUUGUCACAGCCAGGUGAUAGUUCAAGCUAGCAUGCUAACGACGUUAAAUAAAAUAGCACAAGCCACUGACUGACUGCAAUGCGUACCACUUUGCCAGGGUCGUAAAUAAUACGGUGUAUGUGUGUAUAUAUGUCAUUCAGCUUCCCCUAGGAAUGCAGAUCGAUUAAAGUGCUCCCUAAAUGUGCUGAUUACCCAGCUAAUACUCGUGGUUUGUGGUACCAGCUUCCAUUGCACACAGUGAAUUCACUUCGGGGUUGUGUGGGCGGUGCGACAUAAGGCUCUGUCCAGCCGAGUCAGCAACAUGACAUCUACUUAGCUAUCUGGUCGUCAAGGUCUAAUGUGUGCUCGCUAAUUCCAGAGUUUCGUAAUGCUUUGCUGGUCCUGCAGGUAUCAAAGAUACAUACACUGACAUUAUGAUAAGCCACUAUUGGCCAGCAGCUAUCUGUCGCUGCAGUAAAAUGUUGCAAUGUCUCGUGUUGCAGUGUCUCGUUUAUUAAACUCGUCUAAAGUACUAGCUCGUUAUGCCGAUGCGGCCCUGAAUCGGGAUAAUCUAUGAGUGUCCGUUAUCUACGGCUAACUCGCAAACCAUUUGUUUAGCAUGUAACUAGGAAUGUGGUUGAUCUGGUUAUCGGUUUAUAUUCCCUGAUAAGACAAGUCUAGUUAGCUAAUUUAUCGAUCACACGAAUAACUUUAAGUGGGUACUGUAUUUGCCUAAUUUGGAAGAUGUUUUAUAUUUACAAAGGCAAACUAGUGUUAUUAAAUGUGUUAGUUUUCACUCGGAAGUGCACGGGUUAAUUUAUUAAUGUAAGCAUUCCUGCUACGCUACAUAGAGUAGCCAAUAUGGCAUGGCAUAUUGAAUAUUUCGCUGAAUUAGUUAUCAGAAGGCUAGUUUCUGGAAUGAUAAAUUAUUGAUAAGCUGGCACAUAUUACAAGACAUUGCUGUUAACUGACAAACGAAAUCGUUUAAUGGAUGCUGAUACUGGUUCUUAGUAAACGCACACACACAUACCUAAACUUUAACACUCAUACACACUGCAUUCUUGCAGCGUCAAACACACAGCGUCACUCUAUGUCUUAACGCGGUUAUAAAUACAUUUCUCUGUGGAAUCCUAGUGCUAGCGGCUCCCAUAUUUACUUUUCUUUCAUCACCAGUGUUCAAGAGGGCGACUGGGAUUUGUAGGCGGUGUGAACACAGAAACUAUUGGGACAGGCAGAAUGACUUGCCAAAAGUUGUGUUUAUAUCCAAAUUGAUUUAGGCAAUAUGUCUGCUUAAAUUUUGGAGCAUGUAAUCAUCUUUAUGGCUACCCAGUUUAUAUAAAAAUACAAACUUACUGUCCAUACAGGCUACAGAUGCAGUCAUAUUAGAUGUCCUUGGGUGUUUCAGAGUAUGAGCAGUAUUGGCUUGUUUCUGAGUUGGAGUUCUGGUCAUUUAAAAAAUGUGACCCAUUGACCCAUUCUAUGAAGGAGGGGACAGCAUUACAGGCCAGGCAUUGUAACCAGUAAUACAGUAUGUUUCAGUGCCUUCCAUCAUAUUAUUAAAAAUAAUUUUAAAAAUGCGUGAGUGUGUUCGAGCAGAGUAGCCUACAUACUGUAGGAUAAACUGUAAAUGUCACCUUUGAGAAGAUAAAACCUCAAAGAUGAACGUCUAACUGUGCAGAAAUAUAAACUCAAUGGCCUUUGUGUUUUUCUGAACAUGAGUAAAAUAAAAUAGAACUGCAUCAAUGCAUGAUUUCUUCUCAAUAAUAAACAGUAAUUGCAUCCUGAAUGGUGGAGAGUGUUUCUGGAAAUUUAUGUAUUCUGUUGUCCAGGUGCUACACAUUGCUGGCAUUUGAAGUGAGUUUCGUCUCUGCACCAUGAAGCACUUUGAGAUCAUGAAAAGUGCUGAAUAAAUGCAGUCUAAUUAUUAUUAUUAUUAUUAUUCCACAGAGAGAGGCUAGAGGGUAAUAGUUAGCUAACGGACAGUUUCAGAGACACAAAGGUUACACCCCAUGGAAUCUGGGCCUGUCUGUUUAGCCGCUUUUCCACCGCAUGGUACCGGCUCAACUCGACUUGACUCUACUUGACUUUUUUGGUUUUCCAUCGGGCAAAAGUGACGUGUUAACACUACAGACCACUGAUUGGUCAGAGCAAUGCGUUUCAUGCGGCGUCGCUAAUGACGACCAGCUACAUCGAUGGGGGUACUAUCUGCAGUGGAAAACAAAGUGCCUGGUACCAAAAGCGAGUAGAGUUGAGUUGAGUUGAGGCAGUACCAUGCGGUGGAAAAGCAACUUUUGUGAAGCUACUAAGGAAGACUUCUUGAGUGCAGCACCAAUGCACCAUACAAUGGCUGAUGUAGUGAAGUAUAAAGUAUAAUGGCUGAAAUCUGCCAGCAGGGGGAGCUAAAAAGUAAUGAUUUUAGGUCGUUGAUUCAAUGCCAGAGUAUGAAAGUUGUUCUGCCCAAAUGCGUCGUAGGGGUUGGUCGUAAAAGUGCUGCUUCGAUCUGAGACCGCAGUAUUUCAGAAACUCCGGACACCCGAAACCGGGACAAGAGCAGUGCUAUUACCAUGGUGUAAAUUCCUGAAGCACUGAUACUUAGUAAAUGACGCUAGAAGAUGGCUACAAGGCUUCCCACCCUCUCUGUCCAAAUCUAGAGCUGUCUCACUUUCCCACAGUACAUAGUGUACAGAAUAUCUCAACUCACUUAACAUUUGACUUAAAUAUAGCCAAAGUUUUGUUUUUUUUUUAAGUAGAAAAAAGCUUUAAAAAGCACAGCUGUUUGCUAAGUUCCUUUCCUGGUGCAAUAUGCUGACUUUGUAGCUUGUUAGCAGUAUCUGCAAAGCAUUACUUCACCUGUCUCAGAUUAUCAGUGGGGUUGGUUUCACAUGGUCCUGUCCCAGCGUCACCCUUUACCACCAAGUUCCCCAUCUCCCCAUCACACCUCAGGUCCCCCUCAAAGUUAGCUGUUUAAUUGAACCCUGGGGUGUGCUUGCAGAGGGGGUUACUGGGUGCAGGACGGGGGUAAAAUGUAAAUGAGAGCACUGACCUGUUGCCGUGGGUUCAAGCUCCCCGGCGAUGCUGUCGAGUUUACGAGAGAGAACCUUUUCACUGCCGCGGCCAGUCCGGCAAUCGCAGAACCGCCCGGCUCACCUGCCGUCCCUCCUCCUCUUCCUCAUCUUCCUCUUCCUGCUUUGUUUAAAACAAAUGUAGGCAGACAUGAGCCCUGUCUAUACACACACUGUGCUUCUGUGUGUGUGUGUGUGUGUGUUUGUCUAUGUGUGUGUUUUUGUGCGAGUGUGAAUGUGUGUGUGGGGUCCCACUUCACACUGCCUGGUUAUUUAUACUCACUCCACCCCCCCAACCCCCUCCAGAGGGAGGGCACAGCUUCCAGAAUAACAGCACCCUCCUGCCUCGUGCCCACUGCUACUGCUGUCUGAGUAACACUGACAUGCUGCCACUGAACAACACAGACACUGGGUAACACUGACACACUGCCACUGAACAACACUGACUCUGGCCCUGAGUAACACUGACACUCACUGGAUCAGAGUAAUACUCACACUAGCCACUGAACAACACAGACACUGGGUAACACUGACACACUGCCACUGAACAACACUGACACUCACACUGCCACUGAACAACACUGACUCUGGCCCUGAGUAACACUGACACUCACUGGAUCAGAGUAAUACUCACACUAGCCACUGAACAACACAGACACUGGGUAACACUGACACACUGCCACUGAACAACACUGACACUCACACUGGCACUGAACAACACUGACACGCACACUGGCAUUGAACAACACUGACACUCACACUGGCACUGAACAACACUGACACUCACACUGGCACUGAACAACACUGACCCUGAGUAACACUGACAUGCUGCCACUGAACAACACUGACACUCACACUGGCACUGAACAACACUGACACUCACACUGGCACUGAACAACACUGACCCUGAGUAACACUGACACGCUGCCACUGAACAACACUGACACUCACACUACCACUGAACAACACUGACACUGGCCCUGAGUAACACUGACACUCACUGGAUCUGAGUAAUACUCACACUGCCACUGAACAACAGUGACACUCACACUACCACUGAACAACACUGACACUUGCACUGGCAAUGAACAACACUGACACACUGCCACUGAACAACACUGAUACUAACACUGGCAAUGAACAACACUGACACUGGCCAUGAGUAACACUGACACUCACUGGAUCUGAGUAACACUCACGCUGCCACUGAACCACACUGACAUGCACACUGGCACUGAACAACACUCACACUCACACUGGCACUGAACAACACUGACACUGGCCCUGAGUAACACUGACACUCACUGGAUCUGAGUAACACUCACGCUGCCACUGAACCACACUGACAUGCACACUGGCACUGAACAACACUCACUCACACUGGCACUGAACAACACUGACACUGGCCCUGAGUAACACUGACACUCACUGGAUCUGAGUAACACUCACACUGCCACUGAAUAACACUGCUACUGGGUAACACUGACACUGCCACUGAGUAGCACUGACACUGGCACCGAACAACACUCAAACUCACACUGGCACUGAACAACACUGACACUGGCCCUGAGUAACACUGACACUCACUGGAUCUGAAUAACACUCACACUGAAUAACACUGACACUCACACUGCCACUGGACAUAGACAUGGCUUGUGUGUGUGUGUGUGUGUGUGUGUGUGUGCGAGAGAGAGAGAGAGAGUGAGCGCAUGCAUGCCUGUAAGUGUCUUCAGGGCGUCCCGUCUCCUGGGUCACUGUGUUCCUGUGCGGCAGUGAGCACCUGUGGGACGGUCCCAGACAGGGGCGAUACGCAGGCUCAACCCCUGCAGCCCUCAGCGAGUCUGGGGCCGCCCCGCGGGGCACAGCGGGUAUUUUUAAUAUCUAAUCCCCCCGGUAAGCUGGGCACGGGGCGCCGUGUCCCUGGGCAAGCGUGGGGCUCUCUGUGCACCCGCCCGCGUUGUGUGGCAUACGCAUACUGGACGUGCCCCCGCCCCCCUCACAUGCUCAAAAUAAUAGCCUGCCCAGCAUUCUCUCUCGCCAACUGCAGGGCAGCCACCCCCCCCCCCCACCAAGGAGCUCUCACACCCCCUAAACAACCCCCACCAUCCCUCUCCGCCCGUCCCGCCGCCUCCCCAGACGCAGUCAUCCCCGACCCCCCUGGGAGGCUUCCCAGAGUGUGACUUCCAGAGACCAGCACCUUCUGACCCUCAACCUCUGACCUUUUGCAUACCAGUUUGUCGAGAGGAGAAAGCGCUGUGGUUUUCCGCGCUCAGGGCGGUGUCAUUCAUGAAUGGGGGGGGGGGCUGCAAUUGUGGAGUGGGGGCGUCGGGGGGGGGUUAAGUGGCGUUCAGUCCGUUUGGAACAGAGCUGUGACCUUUACCGUCCUGCCAGUGUGUCACGCCCACAUAUUGUCUGAGCGCGUUGUUAUUGAGCAGUCAGACAGUUGAAAUUUAAGGGUGGGAACAUUGCAGAGGGAGCUUAGGGGGAUUUGACAUGGACACAUUGCUAAAGCUCACUGACAGGUCUAUGUUGACUGAACAUAGACCUGGCUAUCGGACAUGGCUAGGCUGUCGGUACAGGUUGUGAGCGGGAAAACCAACGGUGAUGCGUUCUGAUGGU